rnacentral:rRNA from 1 species
CCUACGGGUGGCAGCAGUGGGGGAUAUUGCACAAUGGGGGGAACCCUGAUGCAGCGACGCCGCGUGGGUGAAGGAGUGCUUCGGCAUGUAAAGCCCUAUCGGCAGGGAAGAAGCAAGACGGUACCUGACUAAGAAGCCCCGGCUAACUACGUGCCAGCAGCCGCGGUAAUACGUAGGGGGCGAGUGUUAUCCGGAUUCACUGGGUGUAAAGGGAGCGUAGACGGCCAAGCAAGCCAGGGGUGAAAGCCCGGGGCCCAACCCCGGGACUGCCCUUGGAACUGCAUGGCUGGAGUGCGGGAGGGGCAGGCGGAAUUCCUGGUGUAGCGGUGAAAUGCGUAGAUAUCAGGAGGAACACCGGCGGCGAAGGCGGCUGUCUGGUCUGCAACUGACGCUGAGGCUCGAAAGCAUGGGUAGCGAACAGGAUUAGAUACCCGUGUAGUC